rnacentral:rRNA from 1 species
UACGUAGGGGGCAAGCGUUGUCCGGAUUUAUUGGGCGUAAAGAGCGUGUAGGCGGCCAGACAAGUCUGCUGUGAAAACUCGAGGCUCAACCUCGAGCUGUCGGUGGAAACUGUCUGGCUAGAGUCCGGAAGAGGAGAGUGGAAUUCCUGGUGUAGCGGUGAAAUGCGCAGAUAUCGUAAGGAAGACCAGUGGCGAAGGCGGGUCUCGUGGACAGUUCCUGACGCUGAGGCACGAAGGUCAGGGGAGCAAACGGG